rnacentral:rRNA from 1 species
UACGUAGGGCGCAAGCGUUGUCCGGAAUUAUUGGGCGUAAAGAGCUCGUAGGUGGCUUGUCACGUCGGGUGUGAAAGCUUGGGGCUUAACUCCAGGUCUGCAUUCGAUACGGGCUGGCUAGAGGUAGGUAGGGGGAGAACGGAAUUCCUGGUGUAGCGGUGAAAUGCGCAGAUAUCAGGAGGAGCACCGGUGGCGAAGGCGGUUCUCUGGGCCUUACCUGACGCUGAGGAGCGAAAGCGUGGGGAGCGAACAGG